GUCGCGACGCCUGAAGGAGUCCCCACCGCAGCCGUGCUCUUGGUCCACCUCAUCCAGCAGCCACCAGCCCCUGCUCUAGAGACGUCCCUGCCGCCGAUUCGGCGGCAGGGACCGUGGCAAUCGCUCCUAUAGUCGGGCCUGGAGGACAUUUAUUGCUCCAGACCCUGUCCCUCUUUGCUUCCCAGACGGCUGGAGUCAUUCCCGGGGGAAGCAGUUCCGAGCCGAUCAAGCAGCCGCACGGGCAUCUCAGUGGCCAGCCCGUCUGGGAACCGGGCAUCUGCAAAGCCAGCCCCGCCGGACACUGGGCAUCUCACGCAACGCUGUCUUCUUCGGCCGCCGCCCAGCUUGUCGCAAGUCCUGGGCGGUGGGCUUCUGAGCACCUUUGGGGCUCUCCAGGACCCAAGUGAGCUCCCUACGGCUCCCAGCCUUUUGGGCCGCCGCGAUGCUACCCUGGAGACGGAACAAAUUCGUGCUAGUGGAGGAUGAGGCCAAGCGCAAGGCGAAGAGCCUGAGCCCCGGGCUCGCCUACACGUCGCUGCUCUCCAGCUUCCUGCGCUCCUGCCCGGACCUGCUACCGGACUGGCCUCUGGAGCGUCUGGGCCGCGUAUUCCGCAGCCGGCGCC
rnacentral:lncRNA from 1 species